AGACGUCUACAUUAGAUACCCCGGUAGUCCCAGCCGUAAACUAUGCGCGUUAGGUGUAUCGGUGACCACGAGUUACCGAGGUGCCGAAGGGAAGCCGUGAAGCGAGCCACCUGGGAAGUACGGCCGCAAGGCUGAAACUUAGAGGAAUUGGCGGGGAGCACAACAACAGGUGGAGCCUGCGGUUUAAUUGGACUCAACGCCGGGAAGCUCACCGGAUAAGACAGCGGAAUGAUUGCCGGGCUGAAGACUCUGCAUGACUAGCUG
rnacentral:rRNA from 1 species